AGAUCUACUCUUCCAGUCUGCAGGUGGCCC
rnacentral:piRNA from 1 species